UUGCAGCCAGUUAAGCUGACUGUGCUCUUUUCUCCAUGGGGUCCUGGUGUGCAAUGGCUGCAAACGCCAGCCUCUUUGGCAGUGUAUGUAGUCUGUUGCCUGUAUGGGUUGCCAUUCAUGAUUAGCUGCUGUCUGUAAUCAGGGUCCAGGAAGGUAAGU
ensembl:snoRNA SNORA70 Small nucleolar RNA SNORA70